rnacentral:rRNA from 1 species
AUACGGAGGGGGCUAGCGUUGUUCGGAAUUACUGGGCGUAAAGCGUACGUAGGCGGUUUAUCAAGUUGGGCGUGAAAGCCCGGGGCUCAACCCCGGAACUGCGCUCAAAACUAGUAAGCUAGAGACCGGGAGAGGUGAGUGGAAUUCCCAGUGUAGAGGUGAAAUUCGUAGAUAUUGGGAAGAACACCAGUGGCGAAGGCGACUCACUGGACCGGUUCUGACGCUGAGGUACGAAAGCGUGGGGAGCAAACAGGAUUAGAAACCCCAGUAGUCC